CGUAGGUGGUUGUUUAAGUCUGUCGUGAAAGCCCUGGGCUCAACCUGGGAACUGCGAUGGAAACUGGGCGACUAGAGUGUGGUAGAGGGUAGCGGAAUUCCUGGUGUAGCAGUGAAAUGCGUAGAUAUCAGGAGGAACAUCCAUGGCGAAGGCAGCUACCUGGGCCAACACUGACACUGAGGCACGAAAGCGUGGGAGCAAACA
rnacentral:rRNA from 1 species